CGGCCGCGUCGACGGCAAGCGUUUGCCGGAAUUAGUUGGGCGUAAAGCGCGCGCAGGCGGUCCCUUAAGUCUGAUGUAGAAACGCCCACGGCUACAACCGUGGGAGGGUCAGUUAGAAACGUGGGGGACUUGAGUGCAGAAGAAGGAAAGUGGAAUUCCACGUGUAGCGGUAGAAAUGCGUAGAGAUGUGGAGGAACACCAGUGGACGAAGGCGUACUUUCGUGGUCUAGUAACUGACGCUGAGGCGACGAAAGCGGUGGGGAGACAAACGAGGUAUUAGACUACCCGUGGUACGUCCACCGACCGUAAACGAUGAGUGACUAAGUGGUUAGGGGUUUCCCGCCCCUUAGUGCUGCAGCUAACGCAUUAAGCACUCCGCCUGGGGAGUACGGCCGCAAGGCUGAAACUCAAAGGAAUUGACGGGUG
rnacentral:rRNA from 1 species